UGACCCUGAGGCUGAUACAGGGAUAUAUAGGAUGACCCUGAGACUGAUACAGGGAUAUAGAUGACCCUGAGGCUGAUACAGGGAUAUAGGAUGACCCUGAGACUGAUACAGGGAUAUAGAUGACCCUGAGACUGAUACAGGGAUAUAGAUGACCCUGAGACUGAUACAGGGAUAUAGAUGACCCUGAGGCUGAUACAGGGAUAUUGUAAUGUAGAAAGACCAUUAGUUACAUGCUACCAACAUGGUGCAUGCUACCUACCUGAAGCCAAGUACCACUAAUGCCAUGGACACCACUAGUAGGAUCUGAGCCAACACUAGGAACCGUUGAGGAUACAUAUGGAGUUGAAGAGAGGGGGAACAUGCAGAAUGUGACACCCAUCCUCCAUAGGUCCACAUGGCACCUACAUCUGAUGGCUGUUUGGGCAUGCUGUGGACUCCUUCCUCCUGAGAGCAUUCCUAGUGCACAUCCUGUUGCCUCCUGUACAUGUACUCAGCCCCGUUCGCUAGUCCCAUGGACAAGGACCUAACCUGUGAACCUUUAUCUUGGAAGAAAGGCCCAAAGAUGGAAUCAAUCAAUGGCACUCGACUGUCUGAUCUGUGAUGGAAGAGACUAAUUCUCCUGUGGAAGGGAAAAAACAUCCAAUCGUGUCUUGUCUUCUAUGAAUUAAUUAAGCAGAUGAUAUUUUUAAUGUCUUUUAUCUUUUUUGUUUGUGUCGUGUCAUGUGCAUUGUGUCAUUUUAACAAAUGGUGACACUGCACAUUUAAAAACUAAUUACACUGGUUAGUAAUCGAACCACCAUUGAACCAGUGUUGUGAGAAUGUUGUAGGCUACAUAUCUGUAAUGUGGCAUGGGACAACUGCUGAGAGAUGGUUUGCUACUCUGAUGAUCGUAGAUGUACCUAGUUAUAUGUGGGUCCACUUGAAGGAACCUCUGUAUGAAAAGCAUCGCAGGGUCCUUACAGCACUUUAUAAUGAUUGAUUUACGUGUGGAGUCCAUGAUAUGAGUACGAUACUCUGGGUUUUAAAGGGACAUUUGUGUAUUUUAAAAACUAAUAAUUAAAUACCGAUAAAGUUUUUUUAAAGGGAUCAUUAGUGGAUAAUGAAAGGUCUGUGAAACACAUUUACUUCUGAAGGUGUAAGUUUUAACUACAAAAUGUUUCGUAAAACCUAUUUUCUGUGUUUCAGUCGUUCUCGAGAAAAGUAUACUACUUCCUAAUAAGUUUUGGUCAUGAAUUGUCUUGUCCGUAAAGCACUUUAUAAUGAUUGAUUUGCAUGUGGACUUCCUGGUAUGGGUACAAUGCGCUAAUGUAAAUGUUAUAAAUAAAUUGACAGUAAUGCUUUUUGCAAGAGAUUUAUUAUCAAUUGAUAAUGACUUGUGGGGGGAAUCAAUGAAGGCAAGAAAUAACGAAGUGACAGAGGAAUCUAAAUGUCAACUGUACAAGAUGAUCUGUUUUUGUUAUUAAUUUACCGAGCAAUGUCAACCUGUAAAAUUGUUGUCAAGAGGAAAUGAAUCUGUCCAAUGUGCGUCAUAUGAGGUGGCAGCGUAGCCUAGUGGUUAGUGUUGGACAAGUAACUGGAAGGUUGCAAGUUCAAACCCCCGAGUUGACAAGUGUCGUUCUGCCCUGAACAGGUGGGUAACCCACUGUUCCUAGGCUGUCAUUGUAAAUAAGAAUUUGUUCUUAACUGUUUUGCCUAGUAAAAUAAAAAAAAUCCCAAAUGGCUGCUUUUCAGACGUUGAUACAGAGAAGCAUGAUUUGGACCUUGUUAUGCAUAAUGAUCUUACACAUUUUCUGUAAAAUCAAAUAUGAAAUCUAAAGCCCUCAUUCUGUGUAUGGAAAGAAAAAGGACACUAUCUUAAAGUAGUUUAACAAUGUUUUAAACUACACAUUUCAUUUUAAUUGUUUUUGUUGUAAUGAUUUAAUGUUUUAUUUGAUUUGUCCUUGUUUGUCUUUCCCUGAAAAUUGGGUUUGGGUGCCUCUUCUGUUGCGCAAAGAAGAUUGUGACAUUGCAAUAAAGUUUUACUUUUUAAAAA